rnacentral:rRNA from 1 species
AUUGAACGCUGGCGGCAUGCCUUACACAUGCAAGUCGAACGGUAACAGGUUAAGCUGACGCGUGGCGAACGGGUGAGUAAGGUAUCGGAACGGGCCCAGUCGUGGGGGAUAACUGCUCGAAAGAGCAGCUAAUACCGCAUACGACCUGAGGGUGAAAGCGGGGGAUCGCAAGACCUCGCGCGAUUGGAGCGGCCGAUAUAAGAUUAGGUAGUUGGUGAGGUAAAGGCUCACCAAGCCGACGAUCUGUAGCUGGUCUGAGAGGACGACCAGCCACACUGGGACUGAGACACAGCCCAGACUCCUACGGGAUGCAUCAGUGUUGCAUUUUGAACAAUGGCCACAAGCCUUAUCCACCCAUGCCUCGUGCGGGAAGAAGGCCUUCUGGUUGUAAACCGCUUUUGUCAGGGAAUAAACGGUUCUGGCUAAUACCUCGCACUCAUAACGGUACCUGAAAAAUAAGCACCGGCUAACUACGUG